GGAUCAAUAUAUCGGUCGUGCCUUCGGUACGUACUGGUAUCAUUGGUUUCUCCUUUCUGACGAACCAUGAUGUCAUUAAUUUGGUGUUAUGGGGAGUUAGGACCGUUACUUUGAAAAAAUUAGAGUGUUUAAAGCAGGCUCACGCUUGAAUACAUUAGCAUGGAAUAAUGAAAUAGGACGUUUGAUUCUAUUUUGUUGGUUUCUAGGAUCGACGUA
rnacentral:rRNA from 1 species